rnacentral:rRNA from 1 species
CUCGUAGGCGGUUCGUCGCGUCCGGUGUGAAAGUCCAUCGCUUAACGGUGGAUCCGCGCCGGGUACGGGCGGGCUUGAGUGCGGUAGGGGAGACUGGAAUUCCCGGUGUAACGGUGGAAUGUGUAGAUAUCGGGAAGAACACCAAUGGCGAAGGCAGGUCUCUGGGCCGUCACUGACGCUGAGGAGCGAAAGCGUGGGAAGCGAACA